AGCAUUUCUAUAAGACAAGAUUAUGAUCUCAAGAGACUGCAUUUUAAUUUACAACUACAUCUCUCUGCCUAUCUCUGAUAAAAAUUAUAACCAGGUAUGUACAGCCACAAAGACUAUGACCUUGACGAAAAUUUUCUUUGCAGAUCCCACGAUUUCACCAAACCAUCACCAAUCUCAGCGAGACACUUUCUCUUUCAACUGUAUACCGCAGCUCUAAUUAACCGACAAAACGACGAAAGAGAGGAGGACCUUAUAAUUAUAUAAAUUGCGAGCUACGAACGAAUCGAGACACCUGAACAGACUGGACGUGUCCACCCACACCGGGUCUCUUCUUCGAGGAGCGUGGAAAGCGAACCGUGUGCCACUUUUUAUUCGAGGCGACUCGAUCGGAAUCGUUACGCAAAUUUUGUCGGCUUGCAAUCAAGUGGAAAUCGCUUACUGAACAGAGAAUAAUUGAACGGGUAAUCACCGAGAUUAACAAGCGGAAUUCCGUUGGAAGAAAACUGUAUUUCGAUGAUGAAUUAAAUAGUUUCGAAGGUAGACGAGUUUCGCGACGAAACCAUUCAGUGAGCUCGUGCGAACCGGAGUCAAGCGAUCGAAAUGCGUCAUCGACUAAUUAACUAGCGCUUGCUAGCGUCAUUAGCGGAAUUAUCAGGAGUGGAUGAAACGUUGGGGCGAUCUACGGCUCGACGGGCCUUAAAUGCGACCGGAAAUAACGUUAUUCAAUGCUAUUUUCCAUCUUGAUGUUAAAGUACAUUGUCAGAUUGAAGCACCGAAUAAAAAAAGAGAGAAAUCCGGACAAAAAACCCUUGACCCGAAUGUGCUAUGCCGGAGAAAUAUUCGAUAAUAUACUUCAAGGUUCAAACCAUCGAGAAAAGCAAUUUGGUUCUUUAAAAAUGGACACACAUGGACAAUUUAGUGACAACUUCAGUCUACUAAAUUUUGCACGUGGACGUUUAGUAUCUCUUGGAGUGUAACAAGUACCUAAAUAGUAAAUAUUGAAAUAUCUGAAGUUGUAUAUUACAUGUUAAAGUAUCUGAGGUACAGUAAAUGUUAAAAUAUCUGAGGUACAGUAAAUAUUAAAAUAUCUGAGGUGUGGGACUCGGUUGAUAAUUAUCAGCGAUGCCCAGCAAGCAGUCGUCGCAUUUGCAAUAAAGAUUGCUGCUGGACGCUGAGUCGCUGGAUAGCAAAGAGUUAUAGAGUCUCAAGUCUGGAAUUUAUUUUCUCUCUUGAAGAGCAGUUCUCAGGAUUGUACUGAAGUUUGUAAUUUAUCUUUGAAGAUAUCUUCUGGACUUUGAGAUUUCUGUUUUAAAACACUGUGCAAGUCACAUCACUUUAUACAGAACAGUUCUCCUACAUCUCAGAAGACACUACAUAUAAUUGAUAUAAGGUACAAUAUGAAGAACGCACUGGAACACUAGGUUGCAUCUUAGGUGCUUACGCACACUCACUUAUGGUGGCUAAUCAGUGAUUCAAUGCAAUAGUUUUCCAAGGAACCUAUUGGCAAGGAUGAUGUCCUCAAUUAAAGACAUGUUCAAAGACUUCUCUGAAGAUCAUCCCCUAAUACUUUCUUGAAGAAAACCUAUUCUGCAUUGCUUCUUGUAAAUAUCCUGUACUAUCCUACAUCAUAAUGUAGAGAACAGAGUGCAUAAAAGUCGCACUUUGCUACAGAUGUAAACAAGAUGGCGGUAAACAAAGUCACCUAGAUUGGAUCGUCGGUAACAUAUAACUACACCCACGCACGAUUGUUAGCCUUGACGCGGUUGAACUUCACUCAGAACGAGGAUCAAUUUCUGUGGAGUUACGUGUCCCUAUGUUACUCAACGCUCAGACAAUUUGAACAGCCGAGGAAAAGAACGAUCUUACGAUAACAAACAUGAUCAGUGCUUUUAUGUAACCAGCGUGAAUUAAAGGCUCGACAACUUGUUAAGCAUUUUUCUUCCUAGAAGGAUAUUCGAUUCUUAAAAGCUUGGGCAAUUUUAAAGAUAGAAGCAUAAAUAUAUAUUCGAUGAAUCAAGAAUUUUGUGUAGAAACAUAGUACGAUUGCAAUAGCAAUUCGGUUGGAGAAGAGAUAGAAUAUCGAAGAGGAUCGAUGAUACUCGACGCGCGGUUGCACGGUUUUCCUCCGGUGACCCGAAUUGACAACUUCCUGUUACCAGUCCGCGUAUUACUCGAUUGUCUAUCGUGUAUUACAUAUAUGGCAUAUACACGUGCACUGCAUAGCCUAACAGGUGAUAAUCCUGACUGCCAUCUGCCGCGACUCGGCUUCGCUAUUCUCGUAUCUUUCAGUACAAAAGCUUAAUCCUAUUAGAUAAAACUAUCGAAAUCCAUAAUGAGGUAAAACGUAGAGAUCUUUGUAACGCGUUUCUUUGAAGUGAACUCAAAACUCACACAACUUGAUUCAUUCAGUACGUCUGUCUUUGUUCUCAAACGCGAUCAUGCAGAUCAGACAGGAAACAAAAGGUGUACGGUUCUCUCGCAUAAUGAAGAGUCGAUUGACGUAACGUAUUUACAAUUCGGGUCGCCGUAAAUAGCUAUCUCUAUUUUUCGAUAUCGUUCAUCAAAUCAAAUGACGCUGAUUCAGAGACGUACAAGGAUGAUUCUGUUCUAAGCAGAAAUCUUACACGAGUAAAAUUAAAUCCAUCGAAUAUUCAAAGCCUCUUUCAAAAGAUGAUAUCGUUAUCCAAUAAGGAAUGUUCCAACUUGUUGAACAAGCUGAAUGAAGAAGCACGUAAAGAAGCCAGGGUUUAAGAUUCUUACGUCAGUUUUGUAAUCGAUUCCGUUAUGUAAAGGAAACUGUUGCAUUCCACUUGAGUUCUCGGGAAACAUAAAGGUCUCCGCUACAACAUCUGUACAUGUAAUGAACAGAUCAAAUUGAACAGGCGAUAUUACAAAGUAAAGGUUCGCUUACUUUCCCUCGCGGAAAUGUCAGCGGCAUGGCCUAAGGUAUCCACCUUUUUUCGGGUCAGCUCGUUUCGAAAGCGAAAGCCGAGCUGAAUUUUCAAUCGGUGGAUACUAUUUCAGUCGAUCUUUUAUUCAUAACGCGUUUGACACAGUGGCCACUGUUUUUCUUUGGUUCUAUGUUUUUUUCCUUGAUUACUUUUUUGACACCAUUUGCAAAUCUCUAAGAUCUUCAGACCUUUAUGUUCCCUAGUACAUCUCUAUUAGUAUUACAUUACUAUUAUAGUGCUUGCUCUUAGCACCUUAAACCUUACUCAAACUUGUAUACUCUUCAACUUGAAGUCUACGUACAAUCAUAAUUUGUCUAGCCUGAAUAUAAAAUAUUGAUAACAUCUUAAUUUUCUUUGUUGUAAUAUAGCUAGUACAUCUCUAUCUUCUCUGGUAUAUACUCAAAUUAUUUGUUUGCUCUUAGCACCUUAAACCUUACUCAAACUUGUAUACUCUUCAACUUGAAGUUUACAUACAAUCAUAAUUUGUCUAGCCUGAAUAUAAAAUAUUGAUAACAUCGUAAUUUUCUUUGCUAUAAAAGUAUAACAAUGAACAGUUAGUUUUGGCUGACACAUCCAACAAAUAAAUACUAGUGCAAGUCCAACAGUACAAUUGUGUUAUUAAUUUAUAACAAAUACCAGGUUAAAAAGUAUACAAUUUGUCGUAGAUUAAACAUCUGUACAGCGUAAUCUCUCAGGUAAACAAAACAAUGUUAGAGCAAACACUUAUUAUCGCCUCCUUAUCUUUCCCGGGAUUCGCGGACACGUAUCGCUACCUCAUGUCUAUUUUGCAGAGUAGUUUUUUUUAGAUAAUCAAAUUUGGUCUGAUGUUUUUAAAUUGUAAACACGUUUGCUAAAGUUCAAAUGUUACAAUGUACAAUUUUUUUGAGACCUCAGACAAUGAAUAUACACAUACUGUCAAUAUUUUAGGAUUCCUAUUUGUUUAAAUUUACAUACACACUGACAAUAUAUGUAUAUUAAUUUAAGGUCGUAUAACAAAAAUGUUUCUCUACCUUGUAAUAGUCACAAUCGACAUUUCUAUCGAGUAAAUCCUCAAGCCUAAGCUCCGCCUCGUCGCAUUCGAUUUUCAUGGUAUUAAACAAACAUCUUUCACGUUUCACUCUUCCACGAUGUCUUCUUCGUUCCAAGCGACGAGUACUCGAAUUCAUUGAGACUACAGUGAAUCGCAUAGUAACGAAUUGCAAAAUUCUUUGUUGUCUUUCGAUACGAACAUUGCAGCAUAUUUUAUCACCGCGUGACUGUAUCUUGAUUACUUUUGAAAUAAGAUUUAACUUCUUGGAGAACGAUACUUGGCCGGUGGCGACCAGUCGCGAACAAAAGCGAUUACAAACAGCGUUGAUAAAAGAUACAGUUGAAAAAGUCCUUCAUACAUCUUUAUCUAUGAUAUUUUGAUAUCUGUAAUAUCUGUGGCGUAAACAAAGCACACCGGAAGUCUAGCAAACGUGUUUACAUCGCAGAAAGCCUUAUGAAAUAUAUCAAACAAUUUUGAACUAAAGACAUUCAAUGUGUUCUGUUGUAAUUUUAAUUCUAUUACUAUUACCUACUUGUUAGCUUCAAAUUUGUUAGCUAAUCAUUCAGAUAAUAACAAUUAACAUAACUGUACAUAUUAAGUAAACUUGAUGUAUCCUUGAACACAUCAAGUAUACUUAAAUAUCCUAAUACUAACAAGGUCUAAAUGCCUAAUACUAAUAAGGUCUACAAUAACGUUGAACUUUAAUGAAAACCUCCUAGUCUAAAAAUAAAUUUGAAUCAAGGAUUAAAUCCUUAAGCAUGGAAAGCUUGAAAGAAUCCGCCAAGCAUGAUCCUCGUUCCAUCCGAAGCAUUCCAAAAUUACCUUCCACGACACAACACCAUUAAUCCAGUUUAUUUUAAUCACACGCUUCACGUGCACGUCGCAACAAAUCGAUUCUCCACUUUCACUAAAACGAUCACGAUGACAAUUAGCGCUAAGAAACGGUUUAAAGUGGACUUGAUAUCUUCCACUGUUGAUAGAAGCGGCGGAGAGACUGGAACAAACGAACCUUCCAGUUUGCGAUUCGUAGCGCGACUCCGCGAUUUUCUUGACCCAUUAGAGAGUGGACAGAAUGGUCGAAAGAGUUGGCCAGCUUUGAAUCUCCUGGAUGAAAUCGCAUGCUACGCGCUGCCAAUGACAAUGUGCCCUCUCUCUCUCUAUACAGGGUGUCUUCAGAAUUACUAACAGACUCUUCAUACAAGUAUAAAUGAAGAAGACAGUAAGAGAUAAAUGAACUUCCAGAAGAUGUGAAUAUGUGUGGUGAUUAAUGGAGGAUCAGGAGUGGUUCCAGACUCCUUCAGUUCCUAGGAAAAGGUAAGGUUGUUAGAAAUGUGAUAGUGUGUUUGAUUAAUGUACCAAAUGCAUAACGUUACCAAAUGAAGUUAACUGUACUUGAGGUUCUAGGAGUCUCCUGUCUUCUAGAGAUAAUUCUAUGAACUUACAGAAGCUGUGAAUAUGUGUGGUGGUUAAUGGUGAGGAUCAGGAUUGGUUCCGGACUCCUUCAGUUCCUAGGAAAAGGUAAGGUUGUUAGAAACGUGAUAGUGUAUUUGACUAAUGCACCAAAUGCAUAACAUUACCAAAUGAAAUUAAAUGUAAUUUCAAGUUCUAGAAGUCUACUGUCUUCAUGUUAAAUAUUAAGUUAUAAAUCCUUAAUCCAUCUUGCUCAGUUCACUAAUUAUGAGACACCCUAUAUAAAAUAUAGUUGAAUUUAAAGAACUUAUAAAAAAUAAAAAAGUGGAUCAACAGUUGUUACCAUACUGCCAAUCAGUGGAACACAGACUGAACUUUUGGCAAGAUUUCCUCUUGCUCGAAGUGGAGAAAACAGCAGGAUUUACGGCGAUGUUUAUUAGCCAAGUUUUUGUUCGGAUGAUAAUCAAACUACGUCAAUGCCGAUGUUUUCUCAAAACGGAGAUCUUUUUAAUUAACCGAUAAGAGAAAUCCUCCGGUAAAUCUAGGAAGUUGGCAUUAUCUCGAGCUCAUAAAUAAUCUUCUUCUAUGCUAUCUUGAUUAAAAUAAAGAAUCCGAGUAAUCGAUUUCUUUGUAGCAAUUAUUAAUUCCGGUUUGGAAAAUUGCUGGCUUGGAUACAGAAGGAAACACAUUACAGUGGUAGUGAAUUCUAUGAAGCUGGAGAACGUCACAGAGUUAAUACGGUAGCACGCUCGAGUACACUAGAGCGUGGACACUGGUUAAACCCACGCAAAGAAUGUACAAAGCGAACGUAUACGCUCAUGAGUUUGUAAACACGUUGAUCUGUGUUAUGUGUGUAUAUGUAGAUAAAGGCAAGCAUUCGUGCGUACAAUAGGCGAGGUGUGUAUAACAAGUUCCAAGACCAUCUCGAAAGAAUGUUCAUUCGCCUGACACGUUUUUCUCCUGCACGCGAGGCUCCCGUUCAAUGGGAAAAACAAAUUUGUAAACGCUGAACAACUUGUAAAUUUUCGUUCUUCGGUAACAUGUUUAUCUACGUGGGAAUUCUUGGAAAAU